ACUUGGAAACAGGUGCUAAUACCGCAUAAGACCACGGCUCGCAUGGGGCUGAGGUAAAGGAGGGAUCCGGUUUGGGGUGGGCUCGCGUCUGAUUAGUUAGUUGGUGAGGUAACGGCUCACCAAGACUGCGAUCAGUAGCCGGACUGAGAGGUUGAACGGCCACAUUGGGACUGAGAUACGGCCCAGACUCCUACGGGAGGCAGCAGUGGGGAAUAUUGGGCAAUGGGCGCAAGCCUGACCCAGCAACGCCGCGUGAAGGAAGAAGGCUUUCGGGUUGUAAACUUCUUUUACCGGGGACGAAGAAAGUGACGGUACCCGGAGAAUAAGCCACGGCUAACUACGUGC
rnacentral:rRNA from 1 species